UGGGGAAUCUUCCGCAAUGGGCGAAAGCCUGACGGAGCAAUGCCGCGUGAGUGAAGAAGGCCUUCGGGUUGUAAAACUCUGUCCUUAUCGAAGAGAGGUAGGUAUGUGAAUAAUGUACCUAUAGGACGGUAGAUAAGGAGGAAGCCCCGGCUAACUACGUGCCAGCAGCCGCGGUAAUACGUAGGGGGCGAGCGUUGUCCGGAAUCACUGGGCGUAAAGGGCGCGUAGGCGGUUUAAUAAGUCAGUGGUGAAAACUGAGGGCUCAACCCUCAGCCUGCCACUGAUACUGUUAGACUUGAGUAUGGAAGAGGAGAAUGGAAUUCCUAGUGUAGCGGUGAAAUGCGUAGAUAUUAGGAGGAACACCAGUGGCGAAGGCGAUUCUCUGGGCCAAGACUGACGCUGAGGCGCGAAAGCGUGGGGAGCAAACAGGAUUAGAUACCC
rnacentral:rRNA from 1 species